GUCCGGCUGGUGUAAUGGUAACAUCUCCGACUUUCAGAAAGGAAGCUUGAGGUUCCAAUCCUCAGCAGGGCA